AUGAUCUUCACCUCAACAAUAUUUGUACCAAGGAAACAUAUUUUAGGGUGGCAUACUAUGUUCUCCCACACAAGUUUGCAAACAAAGAUGGAAUUAGAGCUUUUCAGUCUCUAUUUCAUCGUGUUAACCCACUUCGUGUUGCUGAAACAAAACACAAGAGGUUCAGUAACUUAUAGUGUCUUAUUUUACCCACAAUUCUUAUGUCUACAGAAUCCAAACAGGAUAGCACCAGCUGCAACACAGCACUGUGGAGAAGUGGAAAGGGAAAUGGAUGUAUACAGAAGGGGAAAUCACAUGGAAGAAAUUCAAGGACAAUGCAUCAGCAAGAUACAGGGGAGGCAUAAGGUACAGUGUUGGAAUAAGAUUAUUUGCAGAUUUAAAGUACACAUUUGAGAGAAAGUAUAGGAAUUCUUGAGUAUAGGAAUGCUCAAGAAUGAGCUAUGCCCAGUAAAUUUGAGGGUUAUCCUUUCAUAUGAUCUGGAACAUAGUGGAUGGUUUUUUGGUUGGAUUUAAUUGAACUGUUAUAGGGAGCACUGUUCAGUAACAAGGUUUAAAUACUUCUUAUCUUCUUGCCUUUUUUUUGGAAGCUUUGAAGUGUCAUGGAAUCAGACAUGAAGUGACUAGGAUUACCAGCUAUGAUAAUUUUAUAAUGAUUUAUAAUUUUAUGAUUUAUAAUAUGUUAUAUGUCAUUGCAGACUCAGUUCAAAGCCAUCUUGAUUGUUUUCAACCAACAUUGGAUCUGGGCAGCAACUUUUAUAGAAAAGCAGUUUUCUGCAGUUGAAAUGGGAGGGAGGUUUUUAGGUGGAGUCUGCAGUAGGGUUGUAUGGAAAAGUUACAGGCUCAUUCUUUGUCUUAACUACCACCUUGUCUAUAUCAGUACCCCCCCCUCAAAAUUUUUGUAUUUUAAUCUUUAUUAGAACUUGAGGAAAACAGUCUUUCUUCUGUAAAUUCUUCAGGCAUUCAGGACAUCAUUCUUGCCUGGAAGGUAAUGAAAAUAAUUUGCUAACUGAUGUAGAGGUUGCAUUGUAGGAGCUAGAAAUUUCACCAGCCCUUGGUAAUGUCUGGAAUUCCAGAAUGAACAUUAUCUUUAUAAGAAACUGUUGGAUUCUGCAAGAGACAAGUUUGACAAUUGAGUAUGCAUGGACCAAAAAUGAACUAGUGCAGAACUAUGUCAGGUAAGAGAGAGAAUUUCUUUUGCUUCCCAGAUUGUGGAAGUUGAGGGAUUUUGCUCUCCAAAGUCAUGGAGCACUUGUCUUGAUCAUAAAUCAUUUUGAUAUCUUCUUCCACUAUUGUCAGUAUAAAUGCAGAAUUUUAUUAACCAUGGCACAUACUCUGUUCUGUUUCACCAGUAGGUAAUUUAAGGCUAGUCAGAUAUCCACGAACAGUUUAGCCA
rnacentral:lncRNA from 1 species